CAGCUGAUAAGCACUACAAAGGCUUGGCUGUGCUCUCAUACAGUAGCUACCAGAGCAACCUAUUAGAGGAAGAACUUUGUUUCCUUCUCUGUCCUUGAAGCCGUGUUGUGAUCAUCCAAAAAAAAAGUGUUAUGAUUUGAAUGUUCUUGUUGUAAUUUGGAAUUGACUUUAAUUGUCCAUACACUUUUCCUUUAAUCACCUGCAUAUGUACAUGUUUAGUAGUAAAUCUGUGGGUUGCUUUUGUGAACCAGUAUCAGUCAGUACUUGAAAUACCCCACACAGAGUCCAGAUCCUUCUGCGAGUCAACAGGCAAGGUGAAAUCAAACCUGCCUUAUUUCCCAAAAUUUCCUCAAAUUAAUCGCCAUUGGGGUGGAUUAAAGUCAAAGUGAACUACCUUAUCAAGUUUUCCUUAGUUCGAGUUUAUCUGAUCUUGGUCGAAAGUGAAAAGUUAAAUAUUAAAUGGAUAUGCA